CGUAAUACAAUGGUCGUAAACAAAGAGAAGCGAAACCGCGAGGUGGAGCAAAACUAUAAAAGCGAUCUCAGUUCGGACUGCAGGCUGCAACUCGCCUGCACGAAGUUGGAAUUGCUAGUAAUCGCGGAUCAGCAAGCCGCGGUGAAUACGUUCCCGGGCCUUGUACACACCGCCCGUCACACCAUGAGAGUCGGGAACACCCGAAGUCCGUAGUCUAACCGCAAGGGGGGCGCGGCCGAAGGUGGGUCCGGUAAUUGGGGUGAAGUCGUAACAAGGUAAC
rnacentral:rRNA from 1 species